CUUUGAGAUAUAAUACGUUUUAUUGCUUGACAAAUAUAUUGCUCUUGUGACACUCACGUAGCUUCUCAGGAACUGAGUCAUCCUCUUCAGUUCUCUGGAAAAUAAACAUUUCGCUGGAAUGGAUUGGGCUGAGAACUCCCCACCCUCCCUCUCUCUGUCAGCGUUACCCUAUAAAAGCAGAGCCAUCUCUCCACUCUGCACUAGAACACCUGAUUACUACAACCUUCAAGCGCGCCAUCACAUCGAGGAAGAACACACAGACACAGGUAAAUACAUCAUUUAAAAUACAUGCUUUAGGUUUAGGUUUAAAAUCACUAUUGGCAAUAAAAAAAAAUGUGUUGCCCAAUGUCCAACUGAAUCAGGCAAAAACAUAUCAGGUCAAAACAUAUCCGGCCAAAACAUAUCAGGCCAAAACAUAUCCGGCAGUGUGGGCGGAAGUAUUUCCAUUGGCAACCAGGCCAAUACCAUCACUCAUACCGCUUAACAAACAACUCCCAGAAAAACUGUCGCACCCAGCAUCACCAUAGCCAACAUAACAGGUGGCAAAGUGGGUCUUUACUACAAGGCAGAGAAGAUGGCUCUCUGUGACCUCAUCGAGGGGAGACAACUCAGGAAGGGCCACUCCAUUCUCAUCCUGAAAAACACCUUUAAGAAGACCCCUCUUCCUCCUCUAUGUCACUGGCUUCCAAGUAGAAAGUGACAAUACAUACAGAUUUAACUACAUACAAAAUAUUGAUUAAAAAUAAAGAGAGAAUAAAUCUCAGAUAAGUGAAAAAGUGCUACAAGAUAUACUUUGAUUGUAUGGUCGAAUUCAACAAUGUAAUCAAUGUAGGUUUUUGACAAAAAAAUAAAUUUUACCACACUGAGAAAAUGUUAGUAUGUGUUCUGUAAGAUGUUAUCAUGAGUGUGUGUGUGUGUGAUUACAUUACAUGAUUGGGGUUGCCACCAGAUAUCCUACAUACUGAUACUAAUUUCAACAAAGGUCAACAACACAAUAUUGUAAUCAAAGUUUUAUUUCUAAGGUUGUAGUCAUGUUAUUUCAAGCAUACAGUGUGUUGGUGCAAGACACUUACAGGGAGCACAAAUAUAUAUAACAGAGACAAAAUCUGCACAUUUCCUAAUUCAUUGGAUUUGAAAAUCAUUUGAACUAG
rnacentral:lncRNA from 1 species